rnacentral:rRNA from 1 species
CGAAAGCGAGUCUGAAUAGGGCGCAUAGUCAGUGGAGGUAGACGCGAAACCCUGUGAUCUACCCAUGGCCAGGUUGAAGCGCGUGUAAGAGCGCGUGGAGGACCGAACCCACUUCAGUUGAAAAUGGAGGGGAUGAGCUGUGGGUAGGGGUGAAAGGCCAAUCAAACUUGGAAAUAGCUAGUUUUCCGCGAAAUCUAUUGAGGUAGAGCGUAAUAAAAAAAAACUGAUUGUAGAGUUACUCUCAGAAAUAGGGUGGCCCAAAGCUUUAACCAACUUCGAAGAAACUCCGAAUAUCAGUUUUUGGUUUUAUUACAGACAGACUAUGUGCGCUAAGGUACGUGGUCAAAAGGGAAACAGCCCAGAUCGUAGGUUUAGGUCCCCAAACAAUUUUUGAGUGGGAAAAGCGAUUUUUUAGCGAUAACAAUCAGAAGGUAGGCUUGGAAGCAGCCAUCCAAUUAAAGAAAGCGUAACAGCUCACUGGCCGAGUUAAAAAGUACUGAAAAUAUAACGGGGCUCAAAAAAUUUACCGAAACUGCGAAAAUAUUAAAUAUUUGGUAGCGGAACGUUCUGUUUUUUUUAAUAUGUUUGUAAGAAUAAGUUAUUAAUCAGAAGCGAUAAUGCUGACAUGAGUAACGAAAAAUUAUGUGAAAAACAUAAUCGCCAACAGUCUAAGGGUUUCUGCGCUCCGUAAAUCGUCGCAGAUUGAAAAGCGGCCCCUAAAAUAUGUUUAGAAAUGAAUAAUUGAUGGGAAUUAAACAAGUGACCGAAAGCAUUUAACAAAUUAAAUUUUAGGAUAAAAAAAUUGGUAAAUGUUUGUUUGCAGGAAAAACUUGUUUUUUAAAAUACCGUACUUUAAACCGACACUGGUAGACUUGUGGAAUACACAACAGGCGUUGAAUUAAUCACAUUGAAGGAACUCGGCAAAAUUCCUCCAUAACUUAGGAAAAAGGAGGCUAGAAUAAUAAAAAUUCUGGGGCACAAAAAUGAGAGGAACAACUGUUUAAUAAAAACACAGGGCUCUGCAAAGUUGUAAAAUGAAGUAUUGAGUCUGACGCCUGCCCAGUGUUGGAAGGCUAAAAUGAUAUGUGGUAUGCAUAAACUAUAACCCCCAAUAAACGGCAGCCGUAACUCUAACGGUUCUAAGGUAGCAAAAUUCUUUGUCGGGUAAGUUCCGACCUGCAUGAAUGGCGUCAUGAUUCCUCUGCUGUCUCCAAUGUGAAUUCAGUGAAAUUGAAUUUCCCGUGAAGAUGCGGGAUUAUUUCUGCUAGACGGUAAGACCCUCUGCACUUUGACUUUAACUUUUUAGUGAAAAAUUUAAUAUUUUGUGCAGUUAUAGGUGGGAGCUAUUUGAACCAAUACGCCAGUAUUUUGUACAAGCAAUCUUGAGAUACCACCGUUAAUUUUAAAUUUUUCUAAUCGAUAUGAAACACUGAAAAGCUGGUAGUUUGACUGGGGCGGUCGCCUCCUAAAUUGUAACGGAGGCGUGCGAAGGU